rnacentral:rRNA from 1 species
UAGGGAAUAUUGCUUAAUGGGCGAAAGCCUGAAGCAGCAACGCCGCGUGAACGAAGAAGGCCUUCGGGUCGUAAAGUUGUUUUACGUGGGAUGAGGAAGGACAGUACCACGAGAAUAAGUCUCGGCUAACUACGUGCCAGCAGCCGCGGUAAAACGUAGGAGAAGAGCGUUAUCCGGAUUUACUGGGCGUAAAGCGCGUGUAGGAGGCGCUACAAGUUGGAUGUGAAAGCUACGGGCUUAACUGGGAGAGGUCGUUCACGACUGUAGUGAUAAAGACAGGGAGAGGUAGCUGGAACUCCGGGAGUAGUCGUAAAAUACGUCGAUAUCAGGAAGAACAACAGAGGCGAAAGCGCUAGACUGGGCCUAAACUGACACUGAGACGCGAAAGCCAGGGUA